AUACCCAUCAUAACUCUCUCCUCUUUCUCUCUCUUAACUCUCUAUCUCCCUUCCUCUACCUGAUUAGCACCGCCAUAACCAGCCCACAACCUGCUACCAACCUCCUCCCUCUACCUAAAUAGCACUGCCACAACCAGCCCCUAACCUGCCACCAACCUCCUCCCUCUACCUGAAUACCACGGUGACGGUCUCGGCCCAAAGGUUACAACAUUUCACCCGGGUCGACUCUCCGGCGACUGAUGGUUUCAACCACGGCGACGGUCUCGGCCCAAACACGACUCGUUUCACCAGAUCUGGAAUGAGGUGGCUUUCAGAUAGGACAUAAACGGCGCCACAAUGGUAGGGUGGUUCGAAUUGAAGGCAAGUUAGGUGACGGGGUGGCAGAGUUUGGAAGUGACGGCGGCGGUGGUUAAAUUUAUGAAAUCUGGACAAAAUUUGAAAACAUUCACCUUCCUGUGCUGCUUCUGGACUAAAUCAUUAAGAAUUUGUUGAUUAAACGUGUGUGGAAUAAGUUCUGGCUAAGGUUGUUUAUGGUGGUGGUGGUGGCGGCGAGAAGAUGAAGUUAGAGAGAGAGAGAG
rnacentral:lncRNA from 1 species